rnacentral:rRNA from 1 species
CUACGGGUCGCAGCAGUGGGGAAUAUUGCACAAUGGGGGAAACCCUGAUGCAGCAACGCCGCGUGAGUGAAGAAGGCUUUCGAGUCGUAAAGCUCUGUCCUAUGGGAAGAAUAGAUGACGGUACCAUAGGAGGAAGCCCCGGCUAACUACGUGCCAGCAGCCGCGGUAAUACGUAGGGGGCAAGCGUUAUCCGGAAUCAUUGGGCGUAAAGGGUGCGUAGGCGGCCAGACAAGUCAGAGGUGAAAGGCUACGGCUUAACCGUAGUAAGCCUUUGAAACUGUUUGGCUUGAGUGCAGGAGAGGAAAGUGGAAUUCCUAGUGUAGCGGUGAAAUGCGUAGAUAUUAGGAGGAACACCAGUGGCGAAGGCGACUUUCUGGACUGUAACUGACGCUGAGGCACGAAAGCGUGGGGAGCGAACAGGAUUAGAUACCCGCGUAGUC